UACGGGGGGGGCAAGCGUUGUUCGGAAUUACUGGGCGUAAAGGGCUCGUAGGCGGCCAAUUAAGUCAGACGUGAAAUCCCCAGGCUCAACUUGGGAACUGCGUCUGAUACUGGUUGGCUUGAAUUCGGGAGAGGGAUGCAGAAUUCCAGGUGUAGCGGUGAAAUGCGUAGAUAUCUGGAGGAAUACCGGUGGCGAAGGCGGCAUCCUGGACCGAGAUUGACACUGAUGAGCGAAAGCCAGGGGAGCAAACGGG
rnacentral:rRNA from 1 species